UUUAAAAUUAACCAUAUAUUUUAAAAAUGAGUAUAUAAUUUUCAGCUUCUUAUAGAGGAGAAACUACAUGAGUUAAUUUUUUUUAUAUUAAGCCUAAAGGUACAUAAUAUAUUGUGUGACUUAUUUUUAAUGGAAGGAUGAACCUGAUAAGAGCUGAGUCUUUGGUCAUUGUCAUGAAGGGAAAUAAUGCGGUGAAAUGUCACUGUUUUCUUUAUUUAGCAUUUAUCUUCAACAUGGUCUUCUGGGUGUUUGUGCAAUGAAGAAAUUAUUUUUAUUGCAGAAUAUGAAUUUUCUUUUGCCACAUGUAGUAAAAGCUUUGUAUAAAACACUGGAAUGUAUCUGAAGUAAUUUCUGGUUAGUUUGUAUUUCCUUUUUGUUAUUUAAAAACAUUUAAUUAAUUUAUUUUAUUUUUUUCCUAUCUUCUCUGAAGGUAGAUACCUGUCCCCCACUUCCCUUUUCUAAGUCCUGAUGGCUAUAAAGAUCAAAGUUGAAAUUCUGCUCAUAAAUGUAGUUGUUCAAUAGGACAAAGCAGGUAAUGUGGGCUUUCCAGGAGGAAGUCUGUGCAAGUCCUCCUGUGCUCAGACUUCAUUUCUAGGAGUUAUAAGCAUAAGGGUUUUCCUACUUGUCCUGGAUAUAGGCAGUCCUCUGUAGAGAACCAUUACAGGAUGAUUUUGUGUAGUCAUUCACUGUUGACGAGUAUAUUGCCAAUUAUGAUAGGCCCAUUGUCUCAUGAACUAUUCAGAUAGGUCUUGUUUUAAGCAGUACUGAAGUUUUUGGCCUCUGGCAUGUAAGUACUUAUAUAAUGGCAACCAAAUGUUGAUUAGUCACCAUUAGUGUUUGAUAAUCCAGGACAUCAAUACUUUUGUUCCAGUGGGGAGAAAUUUGAAUUUGAAAAUCAGAAAGGAUGGGAACGUCAUUUGCUGCCUUAUUUUUAUUUUGGGGGGCAGGGAGAGAGAGAGAGAGAGAGAGAGAGAGAGAGAGAACAAAUCUGCUGUUGUAUCUUGGGGUCCUAUAAAGCUUUUAAUCUGUCCAGUUUAAGUUUUUUAAAUCAAAUAAUAGUUUAUAUAAUUACCUUUGAUUUAUGGGGUUUAUGAGGGGCUGGCAAUUGUGAUUUUUCUUAAAAUAUAAAAAAUACUUAAAGUAACGUUGAUGAGAUAAAUGAGUGUAUCUGUGUCUUCUGGUGGCAAAACGACUUUGGGAUAGUUAACAUCAAGCUGAACUCUGUGUUAGUCAGUUUGUGUUCAGUCUGUGAAGGUUAGUUUUUGUCAGCUUUUAACAUAAAGCUAGAGGCAACUGAAAAGAAGGAACCUCAAUUGAAGGGUUGCUUCCAUCAGGUUGGCGUGUGGACAUGUCUGUGGGAUAUUUCCUUGAUUGAUACGGGAAAGCCAUUGCACUGUGGACCAUAGCAUCCCUGGCAAGCAGUCCUGGGUUGAAUCAGAAUGGUAGCUGGGUAAUAAGAAAAUGUGCCUCCAAACAGCAGAGCUAGUAAGCAGAGUUCCAUCAUACUCUCUGCUCCAGUUCCAGCCUCUUGGAAAUAUAAGAUGAUAAGAUAAAAUAAACUCUUUCCAAAGUUGCUUUUGGCUAAUGUUUUAUCACACC
rnacentral:lncRNA from 1 species